CGAGCCCCGUGGGUGAGGCGGCGGCGGUAACUCUUUGGUGCUGUGACGGCCUCAAUCGGACCCGCGAGAGCU